UACGUAGGGUGCGAGCGUUGUCCGGAAUUACUGGGCGUAAAGAGCUCGUAGGUGGUUUGUCGCGUUGUUCGUGAAAACUCACAACUCAAUUGUGGGCGUGCGGGCGAUACGGGCAGACUGGAGUACUGCAGGGGAGACUGGAAUUCCUGGUGUAGCGGUGGAAUGCGCAGAUAUCAGGAGGAACACCGGUGGCGAAGGCGGUUCUCUGGGCAUUACCUGACGCUGAGGAGCGAAAGCAUGGGGAGCGAACAGG
rnacentral:rRNA from 1 species